GUCCACGCCCUAAACGAUGCUCACUAGGUGUUGGGGAAGCGAUUCCUUGGUACCGUAGCUAACGCGUGAAGUGAGCCGCCUGGGGAGUACGGCCGCAAGGUUAAAACUCAAAGGAAUUGACGGGGACCCGCACAAGCGGUGGAUGAUGUGGAUUAAUUCGAUGCAACGCGAACAACCUUACCUACCCUUGACAUGUCCGGAAGCCUGCUGAAAGGCGGGGGUGCUCGAAAGAGAACCGGAACACAGGUGCUGCAUGGCUGUCGU
rnacentral:rRNA from 1 species